CGAAUCUUCAUUCUCUUCUUUGGUGAACAGCGGAGGGUCAUUACCGAGUUUACAACUCCCAAACCCCUGUGAACAUACCUUAUGUUGCCUCGGCGGAUCAGCCCGCGCCCCGUAAAAAGGGACGGCCCGCCGCAGGAACCCUAAACUCUGUUUUUAGUGGAACUUCUGAGUAUAAAAAACAAAUAAAUCAAAACUUUCAACAACGGAUCUCUUGGUUCUGGCAUCGAUGAAGAACGCAGCAAAAUGCGAUAAGUAAUGUGAAUUGCAGAAUUCAGUGAAUCAUCGAAUCUUUGAACGCACAUUGCGCCCGCCAGUAUUCUGGCGGGCAUGCCUGUUCGAGCGUCAUUUCAACCCUCAAGCCCAGCUUGGUGUUGGGAGCUGCAGUCCUGCUGCACUCCCCAAAUACAUUGGCGGUCACGUCGAGCUUCCAUAGCGUAGUAAUUUACACAUCGUUACUGGUAAUCGUCGCGGCCACGCCGUUAAACCCCAACUUCUGAAUGUUGACCUCGGAUCAGGUAGGAAUACCCGCUGAACUUAAGCAUAUCAAUAAGCGGAGGAA
rnacentral:rRNA from 1 species